GACGAAGGUCGUCAAGGGGUUAGGAGAGGGGCAAAAAGACCGGAGGGGGUUUAGCAGGAGAGAGAGGGGAGAUACAUCCCCUUGCCGCUGGAGGGGCUAGGGGAGGGGCUGAGCGACCUGCUCCGUUGUUGACGCGGGCCUUUUGAGGGAGGGCGGUGGUGCGGUGACGGCAGCGACGUAGUAGUCUAAAACCAUUACCUGCUAGUCUCAAUAAAACUAGAAAACGUUUUACUACAGCCUAACUUACUAAACGUAACCUGGCUUCUUGUUGUACAGCUAGAACUUCCCGGACUUCUUGUUGUUUGACUAGAACUCCCCGUACUGCUUCUUGUUUGACUAGAGCUUCCCGGAUGUCUUGGAUGGGGAGGAUACUGUCGUUCCAGAAGCUUUCGUUUCCGCUUCUUUCAUUCGCGAAGGUUUCGUUCACGAAGCUUCUCCGUUUUCUUAAAGUCGUUCCGACUUCUGAAUUGAAACCACCUACGCAUGGAGCUCUAUCGAGUUCUAGGUUAGUAUCCUCAUCUGGUUAGAGCACUAACAAUAACCUUUUCUUAGCUACGAAUGAAGGUACGGUUAUUUAGACUUCUGGUACCAGCGUGUGUUCCAAGAGAAGUCGUAGCAACCCGAUAAUAAAUUCUUGUUCACUUAUCCAAUUUCUACGUCGUACCGCCCGAGUUUCAAGAAGGUCAUGUCAAUUAUCAUCACGGUACCUUAGUAAACCCCCAUAGAACCUCUGUUCCCUCAGUUUUUCUGUUCUCGCCAAACUCGAGUACUAACGUUACCUGUUUGUCUCUCUUCUUCUAUCCAACCAUCUUCUUUCUUUCUUUGAACGUUAUGUUCUUUUUUUCUACCUUAAUCUUCUUCUUUUCUAUGCUUAGUACUCUUACCGCCUUCUUGCGUACUACCCCCGACUUCUUUCGUUUUAUUACUCGUACCUGGAAUCACCGUACCUACUCGUUCUUGUUCUUAAGAUGUUUAAUUCUUUCUCGGUCUAGUAGUUGGCUGUAGCAUUGAGCAGCCGAACUCGAUACACAACAUUAGACAUAAUGAAUAAUAGAAGCUUGGUAAACCUAUUUUACACAGAACAUUAGACAUGAUGAAUAAUAGAAGCUUGGUAAACCUACUUUACAUAGAACAUUAGACAUGAUUAAUAACAGAAACUUGGUAAACCUACUUGA
rnacentral:rRNA from 1 species